CUCAAUGGGAUUCUCCUAAAAAAGAGAAAAUCGUCCGGAUCAGGACA
rnacentral:ncRNA from 1 species